rnacentral:rRNA from 1 species
UACGAAGGGGGCGAGCGUUGCUCGGAAUUACUGGGCGUAAAGGGCGCGUAGGCGGACAGUUUAGUCAGAGGUGAAAGCCCAGGGCUCAACCUUGGAAUCGCCUUUGAUACUGGCUGUCUUGAGUACGGGAGAGGUGUGUGGAACUCCGAGUGUAGAGGUGAAAUUCGUAGAUAUUCGGAAGAACACCAGUGGCGAAGGCGACACACUGGCCCGUUACUGACGCUGAGGCACGAAAGCGUGGGGAGCGAACGGG